rnacentral:misc_RNA from 1 species
CUGGCCCCUAGAUGGAAUGACCGUGUCGGCACGUGAGCGGUGAUGGAUUCGCAUGCCACGGCGGGCUCCCUGCCACUGUGCAGCCAACCGCCGUCGCUGCAGCCCCUUCACUCGUGCUCCAACCACUCGGAGCCUCCCGCGUUGCCUGUACAACAUACCCGGUUCUCGGGCAAAUGACUUCGUCCAACACGCUCGUCCGCUCCCCUCGCCUUUGUGCGGGCGCGGAGCGGCAACGUCGGCGGUCCUCGUGCUCCCUCGGACGACGGCACGGCUUUGGCCCCUCGUCUCGUCCCGAUCGGCCCUCGGGGAUUCGCCAGCGCUCGCGGACACGGUAGACAAUGUUGGCUCGGGGCCUUCGUAGCCCUCGCACCACGAUCGGUCGGCUCACUUCGCCGCCCUCGAUGAGACGACCGUCGGGCCCGUCGUCCCCCCACC